CCUUAAAUUGUGCAUUGUUGGAUUAGAAUUAUAAAUUGACUUUUCCUCGUUCUCCCUAUGAAACAAAGGUCAAAUGGAUCGGUUGAGACUUUAAAUAAGAAUCAACAUCAACUAUUGACUUUAUAUACAGCUUAAAAAUCAAGAAACUCGAGAUCCUCUGUGUAUGAGAAUACGACAUGCCUUCUGACAUUUAAAUCUUGCAUAUGUUUGAUGAACGUCUUGUAUCAAUACUAGGAUGACUUUUCAAUAAUUAAGUAAUUGUGCAAUGUGACUGGAGCGGAAAUAAACAAAAAUUGAUUCACAUGUGUAAUGGUUCAUCGGAAUCCAUUCCAUGCAGACAAAAUAUUCACCACAACUUUACUACUGUGCUCGGAAAAGUUAUAUUUUCAGGACAAAAGAGACCCCUUAAGUUUAGUGCUGAUGGUGGUAACGGGUGCCGAUAUAGCGAUUAACUUUAUAGAGAUGGCAGCAGGAUUUGCAGGUUUGGACCAAAACAGGAUAGCUCCUUUAAUAGGAUCAGAUACAGCAAGGUGAAGAUUCCCGGAACUUCAAACAACCUGGUGCCAAAGUGAAAUUAUUUAUGGAAUACUAUAGCAGUUUUAAACAGUGAAGUAAACUCCGAACUACGCAAUGGAAUAUUACUGUGCAGCUUUCCAAUAGUCGUAAAAUAACUAAAACAACCGUAGAGCCAUUUAUCAUAGCCAUGUUUUAAUUGUGUAUUUUACAGAACGGAAUAAAUGGAGAGUACGAUGGACUGUU